rnacentral:tRNA from 1 species
AGCGCUACUGGCUGGAGACCUCGUCCCGCGCCGGGGAUGUGUCCUCCGUGGGGCUGGGCGCGGCGGACCAUCCGCUGCUCGGUGCCGCGGUGGCGCUGCC